rnacentral:rRNA from 1 species
UGCAGUCGAGCGGCAGCGGGAAGUAGCUUGCUACUUUGCCGGCGAGCGGCGGACGGGUGAGUAAUGUCUGGGGAUCUGCCUGAUGGUGGGGGAUAACUACUGGAAACGGUGGCUAAUACCGCAUAACGUCGCAAGACCAAAGUGGGGGACCUUCGGGCCUCACGCCAUCGGAUGAACCCAGAUGGGAUUAGCUAGUAGGUGGGGUAAUGGCUCACCUAGGCGACGAUCCCUAGCUGGUCUGAGAGGAUGACCAGCCACACUGGAACUGAGACACGGUCCAGACUCCUACGGGAGGCAGCAGUGGGGAAUAUUGCACAAUGGGCGCAAGCCUGAUGCAGCCAUGCCGCGUGUGUGAAGAAGGCCUUCGGGUUGUAAAGCACUUUCAGCGAGGAGGAAGGUGUUCGUGUUAAUAGCACGGACAAUUGACGUUACUCGCAGAAGAAGCACCGGCUAACUCCGUGCCAGCAGCCGCGGUAAUACGGAGGGUGCGAGCGUUAAUCGGAAUUACUGGGCGUAAAGCGUACGCAGGCGGUUUGUUAAGUCAGAUGUGAAAUCCCCGAGCUUAACUCGGGAACUGCAUUUGAAACUGGCAAGCUAGAGUCUCGUAGAGGGGGGUAGAAUUCCAGGUGUAGCGGUGAAAUGCGUAGAGAUCUGGAGGAAUACCGGUGGCGAAGGCGGCCCCCUGGACGAAGACUGACGCUCAGGUACGAAAGCGUGGGGAGCAAACAGGAUUAGAUACCCUGGUAGUCCACGCUGUAAACGAUGUCGAUUUGAAGGUUG